AAUUAAUGUGGCUGGAAAAUGUUAAAGUUUUUCACUAUCUACAUUGUAGGUGGAGCAGGAUUUUGUCCUGAUGUUUGGUAGAAGACGUGUCUGGCAAGUUUCUGGAGCAACAGAUGACCACGUUCAAGAGAAAGAUCAUCUAACAAUGCAGAAAACUUCCAACCACCAGUGACCCUGAAGAACUUCUCCUGGCAGCUGACCCUCCUGAGGAUGCCACUGAAGUGGAUGAUGACAUGAGUUGGGAUAAUGACCUCUCAUCAAUUUUGCUGCUGCAAUACCUAAUUCCCCCCUCUGCAUUGGGCCAAAAGAAACCUUGGAAGAUGUCUGGCUAUCAACCAGAGAAGCAUCUUGUGGUCUUCAAGAAGACAGAAAUCAGCAUUCAAGAACAUCUUGAUGCUGUCAUGAGCACACAACCCUAUCUCCUGGCUGUGGGACAGAGGAAGAAAGUAGAUCACCAGUUCUUCAUCCUUGACAAAAAUGUCAUUGCUUGCAGGUCAACUUCUUCUCUUGGUGCUUUUGACGAACUGUUUAAGGCACAUUACGUGUUUGCCGCAACAUACAACCCUGUGUUAGUUUCUUCAAGCAACAAUUAAAAAGCUUUAAAAACAUUACUAAAACAUUAGCGAAAAAGCAUCAAAGUUACAUGACAAUGUAUCAUGAAUCAUUUGGCAAGGAAAGAUUCAGUGUAGGUCCAGGAAAGAUGGUGACACUUUGUGAGUUAAAAGAGGGAGGAGCGAUUGCUGCAAAGUUUGGAAUUAUUUCGACAACCAGUGUGGUUUCUGCCAAGUGGAUAAAAUACUAUGGUACAGAGUACCGUCCUGACUUUAUUAUAUGUACUGAGGUAGCAUGUGAGAUGCCUGUAUUUUGUAAGAUUCAAACAAUUGUUGUAAAAGAUGACAGUGUUUUGCUCUGUGGAAAAUUGAUGGAAACCAUGUGUUCUGAUGACCACUACCAUGCCUUUAAGGUCAAGGUGCAUCCAGAUAAUGUUCGAAAGAUUUUGCAUAUAAAUGAUCUGUUAUACUUCAAAUCAUUUGAUGUUCAAAUGAAGUACGGUACGACAGAUACUGCCUUAUAUGUGGUUCCAUAUUGCCAUUUUAUGCAGACAUAGGAUAAUUUUGCUAAUGGUGUUCUUAAGAGACUGAAGUUAACUGUUUGUGGACUUGAGAUCGGUUGCUUGGCAUGCCAGGCACCCUGGAAGCCAUUUUACAGUCAAUGCAAAGUCCUCUACUGUUAUAAGAUGUACACCAUGUCAUGUUACUGUAACACUACUAAAAGUGUGUUAACUAAAAGUUAACAAAUCCUUUAAAUCUGCUUUAGUUCAAUAAAGUUAAGUUAAAUGCA